rnacentral:rRNA from 1 species
GACGAACGCUGGCGGCGUGCCUAAUACAUGCAAGUCGAACGCAGUGGGGACGGGUGAGUAACACGUGGGUAACCUCCCCAUCAGAGGGGAUAACACUUGGAAAAAGGUGCUAAACCGAUACUGCUGGAUGUCCCCUCGGUGCAUUAGCUAGUUGGUGAGGGAACGGCUAACCAAGGCCACGAUGCAUAGCCGACAGGAGAGGGUGAUCGGCCACACUGGGACUGAGACACGGCCCAGACUCCUACGGGAGGCAGAAGUAGGGAAUCUUCGGCAAUGGACGAAAGUCUGACCGAGCAACGCCGCGUGAGUGAAGAAGGUUUUCGGAUCGUAAAACUCUGUUGUUAGAGAAGCGGUAUCUAACCAGAAAGCCACGGCUAACUACGUGCCAGCAGCCGCGGUAAUUC